UACGUAGGGUGCGAGCGUUAAUAGGAAUUACUGGGCGUAAAGCGUGCGCAGGCGGUUCGUUGUGUCGGUGGUGAAAGCCCCGGGCUUAACCUGGGAAUGGCCAUGGAAACUGGCGAACUGGAGUGUGGCAGAGGGGGGUGGAAUUCCGCGUGUAGCAGUGAAAUGCGUAGAGAUGCGGAGGAACACCGAUGGCGAAGGCAGCCCCCUGGGCUAGCACUGACGCUCAGGCACGAAAGCGUGGGGAGCAAACAGG
rnacentral:rRNA from 1 species